ACAUGUUUCUGCGCGGGAGAGAAGCUGAGACUACCGAGCACGACGAGUCGUCGAUAGCUUUGCAAGAAGCUGUCCGUCUAUUAUACCACUGACGAGGUAUUGUUACGUCAGUGCUGGUAUCAUAGUAAAGAAAAACAGUGCCGUAUCUAUUGUAUUUUUACGGGAUCAAAUCUGUCUGUAAUAUUAAUAGCGUUUGCUUAUCCAUCUCUGCUGCACUGAACUUCUAACGCUACGGACAGGGUACAGAUUUUCGUCUUACAGAUUCAGAAAGCAAGCGAUAUAAUAACAACAAGGAAUGGUUCAAACUAUAUAUAUAAUUAUAUAAAAAGAGUUUUAUUACAGAUUAGGCUCCAAC